UCCUGGCCUUGGGUAUCUGGAAUUGUCUGC
rnacentral:piRNA from 1 species